rnacentral:rRNA from 1 species
CCUACGGGUGGCUGCAGUGAGGAAUAUUGGUCAAUGGCCGUAAGUCUGAACCAGCCAAGUCGUGUGAAGGAAGAAGGAUCUAUGGUUUGUAAACUUCUUUUAUAGGGGAAUAAAGCUAUCCACGUGUGGAUAUUUGCAUGUACCCUAUGAAUAAGCAUCGGCUAACUCCGUGCCAGCAGCCGCGGUAAUACGGAGGAUGCGAGCGUUAUCCGGAUUUAUUGGGUUUAAAGGGUGCGUAGGUUGUUUUUUAAGUCAGCGGUGAAAGUUUGUGGCUCAACCCCGGCGAGCCGUUGAAACUGGCGGGCUGGAGUGGGAGAGAGGUACGCGGAAUGCGCGGUGUAGCGGUGAAAUGCUUAGAUAUCGUGCAGAACCCCGAUUGCGAAGGCAGCGUACCGGCUCCACACUGACGCUGAGGCACGAAAGCGUGGGUAUCGAACAGGAUUAGAUACCCGAGUAGUC